CCGAACGUUCCAUCUCCGCCAUUUUGUAAAGGUGUCAAAGGAAGCAUUUCUGGUUUCCUCGCAGGCCUCACAUCCGGCGCUUCAGCCCCACUGCGCAGGCAGAGCGAGCGUGUCGACGGGCGGGAAGGGGGGCGGCGGAAGUGGUCGGGAAAAGGAAAUAAGUCGCGUAAGCCGCGGUGGGCCCGCUGAGGAAGGCCGCGGUCCUUCUUGGGAGUAGACCCUGAGCCCGCUCUCCUCCUCAAUAUGUACCAUGCCAGUAUCCGCCGCUCCAGCGUGUCUUCCUCCAGUCGCUUCCGAAAGAGUAGCAGCCCGGGCCUCCAUAGUUCUCGCUCUGGGACCUCGAGGUCGACUCGAAGCCGUAGCCGGCGGCACUCGCGCUCGCCUUCUCGGGGCCGGCGAAGACAGCACCACUCGCGGUCGCCUUCUCCGGGGGGCCGGAGGCGGCGGCACCACCGCUCGUCGUCCAGGAGGCGCUCCUCUCGUCGCUCGCUGUCCCCGCACCGCAGCAGUCGGAGACAUUCUCUGGGAUGGCACUCACGUUCUCCAGACCGACGUGCACAUUCUCCAGUCCGAUACCCCCUUUCCCACGGUAGCUGCUUUCCAGGUUUGGACUCGGAAUCUUCAGUGGAACGUGGUUUGCAAAUCACAGUUGACAACGAGCGUUAUGGCACCAAAACACCUGAGAGAAAGAGGUUGUCUGAUAGACUGGAUUCACCAGUUGAUAGUCUGAGUGAUGUGGACAGGGAUGAUUUGGCUGAUGGUCCAGUAUUUAGCAGGCACCUUUCACAUCUUCGCAGCUCUGAGCAAUGUCCCUCUCGGGAGGAAGAUGCUCUUAGUCCUUUCAAUUUGAAACAUGACGAGGAUUAUCGCAAUAGGGAUAUUUCUGUCUAUGGCAUGCACUAUGACUGUCUCCAGGAUCAAUCGUGUGAAAGUGGUAGGGUUGGUAGACCACUUAGAAACUCCCUAGAUUCAUCAGAGGAUAGAGGUCAUGAACUGAAAAGUCUUCGGUAUGAUAGAAAUGACAGACUGAUUGAUAUCAGCACAGAGACUCGGCCUUUCUUUCCAAGAACACAAAAUUAUCAUACACAAAAUCUUAGUAGAAGCCCAAGUCCAGCAUACCAAGAUGAAGAUUUCCGUGAGCUUGAAAUUGCUAGAAGAAAAAGAGAAGAGGAGUUGCUGAGUAAGAAGUUGAGUGAAAAACUGCCUAGCAGUGGCUACAUGGUACCUAGUUCAAGUAACCCAUUGUGGUCGUUGGAACCUCAGUAUCUUUACAGACCGGAGGAAGCACCAGCAAUGCCCAAAAAAUCUAUUUUGAAGAAACGUGUGGAUGAUCCUUCUGUGCAGCCUAAAGUCUUUUCAGUCAGUGAACCCCCUCCUUUGGAUAUAAGUACUGAUCCCUUUUCAUCGGAGGUGGAGAAUUUCUUCAAACAAUUCAAUACAAAUGCAGUUAAAAGGCCAGCCCCCAGUAAGGAACUUCAAGGCACUGGAACUGUAUCUGAUUGGCAAUUGUGUUCUGGCCAGAAACAAAAUGUGUUUUCUUCUGAACAGAACUCUGGGAAUGUUUUAGCACAAAAAGAAUGUCACAAGAUGAUUUCAGAGCCUGUUGAUCAACAGAGUGACUUCUUGGGGCCUCAUGAAAGAGUCAACCAGGACCACAGUGGCUUUUCAGGCAUUUUGGGCAUGAUGGCUGAUUCUUCCAACGCCCAAGAAAAGAGAAGGAGCAGGUUUUCUCACAUUGAGGAUGAAGAGAAAUUUCUUUAUGGUGAUGAAGAAACUAGCAUCGUUUCCGCUUGUGCUCCAGAAUGGACUCUGAGUACUGAGAAAGGAUCUAGAAACCAGAAGGUAACCUCUCCAUCUCCUCCUAGUCUACCUGUAAAAUCGGACAUGUCAGAAGAGUCUAGGCUAGAUCCUGAGAAGAUCCGUGACUUGCUCAAAGCUGUUGGGCUCGACAUUGGGAUGGCUGAAAUUAGUAAGCUUGCUGCCCGCACACAGGAACGACUCCAUGGGAAGAAACCAUCUCAUUCUCCUGAUUGCCGUUUGGUGUCUUCUCAUAAACCUCCAUCUCAAGAGAGGUAUCGCAGUCGAAGUAACACUCUUUCUCCAGACUCAAGCCGGAAGCAUUCUAUCUCACCUGCUAAAGAUACAUCCUCUCUUUCAAAAUCUGAUUAUGAUAAAAACAAAACUACAAGGCAGGAUGAUCCCGCUGGCAUGCCAUGGCAGCCUGUUUCCCCAUUACCUGUAAUCCCAUCAGCUCCACCAUCUCUUCCUAAUUUCGAUGCUACUUCAAUUUCCUGGUGUAACUUUUCACAAAUUUCACCAUUCACUGCAGCUCAGUUUCCUCAAAGUCAUCCAUCACUCCUAAUGCCCCCUCCUGGCUAUGGGGUAUAUGGACAUUAUACGGCUUAUGCAGCUUCUGGCUGGACCACACGUACUCCACAGGCUGACCUUGUACUUUCAGACAUGCAUGGAAUUUCAACACCAGCAGUGCCAGCAAAUUGUCUGCGACCGAACCUCAGGGCUAUUGAGAGAGUUUCUCUGUACAAAGAGAUUCCUGAAAUCAAACAAGAGACAUCUGUGCUUGUGCAAAUCCCCACUACUGCUCCUGUCUCUGAUGUGCUCCCUCAGCCUUCUCUCAAAGGUGGCAAGGAAAAAAUAGCUGAUGAAAAGAACCGGGCCGCUCAGCGGCAGAAGGUAAUUGAAGAAAUAAAGAAGCUGACGGUUGAACAAAAAGAACUACAGAAGCAGCUGUAUUACCUGAGGAUAGAGUUAAAUAGGCUUUCAAGACACCAAGAAAAAAUGCAGCAGACAAAGCGUAAAGAGAAAGACCCUUUGCUAGUGGAAGUGAAUCGGCUCCGAGAGAACAUUUCAAAAGAGAUUACUGAACUAGAAGUAAAAGCCAAUGCUGUAAAGAAGAAAAAAGCUGAGCUUGACAAAGUAGCUCAGAUCCUAGGGAUUAACACAUUUGAGAAAUCUCGAAAACCAUCAUCAGAAAAGAUAGACUUGUCAGAAGAUCACUUGGAAGAUGCAGAGAGUAAGGAGGGAGCAUCGGGCUCAACUAAGUUAUGAGAAAAUGAUUGUUCUCCCAGAGAAGAGAUGGGAUGCAGCAGAAGACGUAAAGACUGUGAAGCUCUCCUGACUUGACUCUAGGGCAGCUUUUAGCAGCUGUGAUGUGGACCAGGAUGAAAUGGAAUAUAAUAGAAGCAGUGUGUGCCAGGUUGUAUCCAUGGGACAUGCCACUGAUUCUAACAAUGCAUCUAUCAAAAUGGAUGAACUGGCAAGUUCUGUGACUGAGGCAGGUCACUUCAGCUGGAAAGACCCUUUACAGGAAGGCAUUAAAUUCCUGUGCAAAGAAAUUCCAUGUGGAUAUACUUCACAGCCCAAGAGGGAGAAUUCCUCUUC